GUUUUAAUAAUUAAAAAAUAAUAUUAAUUUUGUAAAUUAAAGUUAGGAAAUUUCCUUUAAAACU
rnacentral:tRNA from 3 species